rnacentral:rRNA from 1 species
UAGGGAAUCAUCCACAAUGGGCGCAAGCCUGAUGGAGCAACACCGCGUGAGUGAAGAAGGGUUUCGGCUCGUAAAGCUCUGUUGUUAAAGAAGAACACGUAUGAGAGUAACUGUUCAUACGUUGACGGUAUUUAACCAGAAAGUCACGGCUAACUACGUGCCAA